rnacentral:rRNA from 1 species
UGGAGAGUUUGAUCCUGGCUCAGAUUGAACGCUGGCGGCAGGCCUAACACAUGCAAGUCGAGCGGUAACAUUUCUAGCUUGCUAGAAGAUGACGAGCGGCGGACGGGUGAGUAAUGCUUGGGAACAUGCCUUGAGGUGGGGGACAACCAUUGGAAACGAUGGCUAAUACCGCAUAAUGUCUACGGACCAAAGGGGGCUUCGGCUCUCGCCUUUAGAUUGGCCCAAGUGGGAUUAGCUAGUUGGUGAGGUAAGGGCUCACCAAGGCAACGAUCCCUAGCUGGUUUGAGAGGAUGAUCAGCCACACUGGAACUGAGACACGGUCCAGACUCCUACGGGAGGCAGCAGUGGGGAAUAUUGCACAAUGGGCGCAAGCCUGAUGCAGCCAUGCCGCGUGUGUGAAGAAGGCCUUCGGGUUGUAAAGCACUUUCAGUCAGGAGGAAAGGUUAGUAGUUAAUACCUGCUAGCUGUGACGUUACUGACAGAAGAAGCACCGGCUAACUCCGUGCCAGCAGCCGCGGUA